rnacentral:rRNA from 1 species
UGGGGAAUAUUGGGCAAUGGGCGCAAGCCUGACCCAGCAACGCCGCGUGAGGGAAGAAGGUUUUCGGAUUGUAAACCUCUGUCGCAAGGGACGAAACAAAUGACGGUACCUUGUGAGGAAGCCCCGGCUAACUACGUGCCAGCAGCCGCGGUAAUACGUAGGGGGCGAGCGUUGUCCGGAAUUACUGGGCGUAAAGGGUGCGUAGGCGGUUGCUUAAGUUGGAUGUGAAAUACCCGGGCUUAACUUGGGGGGUGCAUUCAAAACUGGGCAACUAGAGUUCAGGAGAGGGAAGCGGAAUUCCUAGUGUAGCGGUGAAAUGCGUAGAUAUUAGGAGGAACACCAGUGGCGAAGGCGGCUUUCUGGACUGACACUGACGCUGAGGCACGAAAGCGUGGGGAGCAAACA